UUAUUAACUAAAGGUUAUGACUUUUUACCUGGGUCGGAAACUGUUGCUGUUAUUUACCGCAUAUAUUUUAAAGUUAUGAAUACUUUAACCCCUAAUGUAAAAUAGGUAGGUAAUAACUUAGGCUAUACUACUCUGAUAGAGUCAAAUAUGUUAUCAAAUUCCUUUACUGCAACUAAUAAGUUGAUUAAAUGGGAAGAUAUAGAAUUUCCUGAAAGAUGGAGAAUUCAGAGGGC
rnacentral:lncRNA from 1 species